rnacentral:rRNA from 1 species
AUUGAAGGCUGAAAUUCGCCUUCAUGAAGCCGGAAUUGCUAGUAAUGGCAGGUCAGCAUACUGCCGUGAAUACGUUCCCGGGCCUUGUACACACCGCCCGUCACACCAUGAGAGUUGGGAAUACCCGAAGCCUGUGAGCUAACUUAUAGAGGCAGCAGUCGAAGGUAGAAUCAAUGAUUGGGGUGAAGUCGUAACAAGGUACC